rnacentral:rRNA from 1 species
CCUACGGGAGGCAGCAGUAGGGAAUAUUGCUCAAUGGGGGAAACUCUGACGCAGCAACGCCGCGUGGAGGAUGAAGGUUUUCGGAUUGUAAACUCCUUUUGUUAGAGAAGAUAAUGACGGUAUCUAACGAAUAAGCACCGGCUAACUUCGUGCCAGCAGCCGCGGUAAUACGGAGGGUGCAAGCGGUACUCGGAAUCACUGGGCGUAAAGAGCGCGUAGGCGGGAUAGUAAGUCAGAUGUGAAAUCCUAUGGCUUAACCAUAGAACUGCAUUUGAAACUGUUAUUCUAGAGUAUAGGAGAGGUAGGUGGAAUUCUUGGUGUAGGGGUAGAAUCCGUAGAGAUCGAGAGGAAUACUAAUUGCGAAGGCGACCUGCUAGAACAUAACUGACGCUGAUGCGCGAAAGCGUGGGGAGCAAACAGGAUUAGAUACCCGAGUAGUC